AUCGCCCUGGCAGCUAAACCGUACUCAGGUUCACGUUGGACAGUAUUCUUCUCUGCAGUCGACUUUCUCGAACUCCAGUGUUCCUCUCCAGGAAACCUUCUGGCCCGGUUCUGGUGGCUAUAUUCCUUGCCGGCUUAACGGCUCCAGCUCCCCCCGAUGUCACCAUACACCAUCGAGCCUCCCUGGACUUCCGCUAGAUGGCGCGUCGCCCUCAGGUGGGACUGGAACAAAGUGACAGCGACAGUAUGGGUGAUACAUAUGUCUCCAAUUGAAGUUCUCGAUGAUUAUAGAUUACAUGCAGCGAUGGCUCAAACUAUCUGCAAUAUUUGCUCACACAUAUGUAUGUGUAUGUGUGUAUAUUCGAGGGAGGAAGACCCAUUCUCCAUUGCGCAUUAUUUGGCCAUGUAUGGAAUUGGACAAUGUGUCUGGUGAUGAUUCAA